UACGGAGGGUGCAAGCGUUGUUCGGAAUUAUUGGGCGUAAAGGGCGUGUAGGUGGCUCGUCAAGUCCGGUGUGAAAUCCCACGGCUCAACCGUGGAACUGCAUUGGAAACUGGCGAGCUCGAGGGUUGGAGGGGGUCGCGGAAUUCCCGGUGUAGAGGUGAAAUUCGUAGAUAUCGGGAGGAACACCAGUGGCGAAGGCGGCGACCUGGCCAAUCACUGACACUGAGACGCGAAAGCGUGGGUAGCAAACAGG
rnacentral:rRNA from 1 species